ACGGGACUCUUCGGAGUUCAGUGGCGGACGGGUGAGUAACGCGUGAGAAUCUGCCUUCAGGUCGGGGACAACCACUGGAAACGGUGGCUAAUACCCGAUGUGCGCAACGUGAAAGAUUUAUCGCCUGAAGAGGAGCUCGCGUCUGAUUAGCUAGUUGGUGGGGUAAAAGCUCACCAAGGCGACGAUCAGUAGCUGGUCUGAGAGGAUGAUCAGCCACACUGGGACUGAGACACGGCCCAGACUCCUACGGGAGGCAGCAGUGGGGAAUUUUCCGCAAUGGGCGAAAGCCUGACGGAGCAAGACCGCGUGAGGGAGGAAGGCUCUUGGGUUGUAAACCUCUUUUCUCAGGGAAGAACACAAUGACGGUACCUGAGGAAUCAGCCUCGGCUAACUCCGUGCCAGCAGCCGCGGUAAUACGGAGGAGGCAAGCGUUAUCCGGAAUUAUUGGGCGUAAAGCGUCCGCAGGUGGCACUUCAAGUCUGUCGUCAAAGACUGGGGCUUAACCCUGGAAAGGCGGUGGAAACUGAAGCGCUAGAGUGUGGUAGGGGUAGAGGGAAUUCCCGGUGUAGCGGUGAAAUGCGUAGAGAUCGGGAAGAACAUCGGUGGCGAAAGCGCUCUACUGGACCACAACUGACACUCAGGGACGAAAGCUAGGGGAGCGAAUGGGAUUAGAUACCCCAGUAGUC
rnacentral:rRNA from 1 species